UACGUAGGGUCCGAGCGUUGUCCGGAGUUACUGGGCGUAAAGCGUGCGCAGGCGGUUUGUUAAGUCUGUUGUGAAAUCCCCGAGCUCAACUUGGGAAUUGCAAUGGAUACUGGCAGGCUGGAGUAUGGUAGAGGAAGGUGGAAUUCCCGGUGUAGCAGUGAAAUGCGUAGAGAUCGGGAGGAACACCAGUGGCGAAGGCGGCCUUCUGGACCAAUACUGACGCUCAUGCACGAAAGCGUGGGGAGCAAACAGG
rnacentral:rRNA from 1 species